ACGGCUCAGUAACACGUGGCUAAUCUGCCCUUGGGACCGGAGUACCCCCGGGAAACUGGGGCUAAUUCUCGAUAGGUGAAGAACUCUGGAAUGAGUCUUUGCCAAAAAGACGCUUGCGUUAUGCUCGCAGGCGUCGCCCAAGGAUGAGGCCGCGACCGAUCAGGUUGUUGGUGAGGUAAUGGCUCACCAAGCCUUUUACCGGUGCGGGCCGUGAGAGCGGGAGCCCGGAGAUGGGCACUGAGACAAGGGCCCAGGCCCUACGGGGCGCAGCAGUCGCGAAAACUUUGCAAUACACGAAAGUGUGACAGGGCUAUCCCGAGUGCCAUCCGCUGAGGAAGGCUUUUACCCAGUCUAGAACGCUGGGGGAAUAAGGAGAGGGCAAGUCUGGUGUCAGCCGCCGCGGUAAUACCAGCUCUCCGAGUGGUGUGGAUGUUUAUUGGGCCUAAAGCAUCCGUAGCUGGCUAAGUUAGUCCCUUGUUAAAUCCACCGAAUUAAUCGUUGGAUUGCGGGGGAUACUGCUUGGCUAGGGGACGAGAGAGGCAGACGGUAUUUCCGGGGUAGGGGUGAAAUCCUAUAAUCCCGGGAAGACCACCAGUGGCGAAGGCUGUCUGCUAGAACGCGCCCGACGGUGAGGGAUGAAAGCUGGGGGAGCGAACCGGAUUAGAUACCCGGGUAGUCCCAGCUGUAA
rnacentral:rRNA from 1 species